GUGUCUUUAUUUAGAGACAGGGAGUCAAUGCUGAGACCAAGGUGUCUUUAUUUAGAGACAGGGAGUCAAUGCUGAGACCAAGGUGUCUUUAUUGAGACAGGGAGAGGUAGAGGUCAUGUGAUGUAAUUACACAGGCCGAUGCUGCAGGGAUGUAGAGGUCAUGUGAUGUAAUUACACAGGCCGAUGCUGCAGGGAUGUAAUGAGGUGAUGUAAUUACACAGGCCGAUGCUGCAGGGAUGUAGAGGUCAUUUGAAGCAGCCUUUCUUCCAUCGCGUGUUUGGAACAAUGACAAAGACAUCGGCAACUUUGUAUUCUGUCGUCAACUCCGCUCUGAAGUGACCUGGCGGGCACCGUCAGGCAGAGAUCAACAUCUUGAUGUAUGUUCAGUGAGAUCUGAGUUUACAGUGUACAACAUCUAGCACUUAGCUGACAUUUGUUUGUUUUUUUUAACAAGCUUUUUCAAGUACAACAUUAAUAUAAUGAUGGUUUUGGGAAACAUUGAAGGAGAUUUAAUGAUGCUCCUAACGAAGGUUUUAAAGAGGAAUUUAUUAGUCUUACGAUGCUUCUGAGAAAUCAGUCUCUCUGGGUCUCCUGUUCUCUCACCCAGAGGAUUAUGGUUGUAUCCUAAAUGGCACGUCUCUCUCCCUCCCUGCUAGAGGCACCUCUCUCCCUCCCUGCUAGAGGCACC
ensembl:lncRNA